GCUGUCACUUCUGCUGUCUCUUGAGAAGAAGAUCCUAUCCCUUCGUCUGCAGCCCUGUGCACAGCACAUGGCGUUCAGCUCACACUGUAUCCCGAUGUUCCCAACCCAUUGUUUCCCGUGUAAACCGUGCCCGCUUCCCACCGGGGAAGUGACUGUGUCAGACACUAAGUGGUGUGUGUCUCCUGGACCUGUGGCCUCGCUGUGCUUACGUUCACUGUCCCCUCACAAAGCCGUCUUUCUAGAUCAUGUCUGAGUCAGUUUGCUGAGAUGCUGACCCUACACAUGGGAGCUUUUGAAGAUGUCAGCCUCCCCUGCCUGUCACCGCUUGCCUGUGGAAGAUGACAUUUAUUUAUGUGAAUAAGUCACAUGGUUAGCCAAGUCUCUCAGGAGUGUAGUGAUUUCCGUCCCAUUCUGGAAUUAUGUCAGUUACCUAUUGGAAAACAUUUGUUUCAUGGGUGCUGGGAAAGGUGGAGGUUUGGGGGUGCCUAGGCAGGCAGGUAUUUAUCUCGCCCAGAGGUGAGUCCCGAUAACCAAGCUGUCUGGGGCUAAUGUGGAUUCGUUUGUUCUAGUCUGCUGCUCAGCCUGCCUCCCACUGGUGUCACGAAAGUUCCAUCCAGGGCUUCACCUGGAGCCGACAGGCCGUCAGGAGGCCGCUGUACUCUGUGGCCACUGUGAAUCUCUGCUGCUGCCCG
rnacentral:lncRNA from 1 species